UACGGAGGGAGCUAGCGUUGUUCGGAAUUACUGGGCGUAAAGCGCACGUAGGCGGCUUUGUAAGUUAGAGGUGAAAGCCCGGGGCUCAACCCCGGAAUUGCCUUUAAGACUGCAUCGCUUGAAUCCGGGAGAGGUGAGUGGAAUUCCGAGUGUAGAGGUGAAAUUCGUAGAUAUUCGGAAGAACACCAGUGGCGAAGGCGGCUCACUGGACCGGGAUUGACGCUGAGGUGCGAAAGCGUGGGGAGCAAACAGG
rnacentral:rRNA from 1 species